rnacentral:rRNA from 1 species
GACGAACGCUGGCGGCGUGCUUAACACAUGCAAGUCGAACGGAAAGGCCCUGCUCUUGUGGGGUUCUCGAGUGGCGAACGGGUGAGUAACACGUGAGUAACCUGCCCUUGUCCUUGGGAUAACUUCAGGAAACUGGGGCUAAUACCGGAUAGGAGCUCCUGCUGCAUGGUGGUGGUUGGAAAGUUUCGGCGGUUGGGGAUGGUCUCGCGGGUUAUCAGCUUGUUGGUCGGGUAGUGGAUUACCAAGGCUUCGAGGGGUAGCCGGCCUGGGAGGGUGACCGGCCACAUGGGGACUAAGAUACGGCCCAGUCGGCAACGUGAGGCAGCGGUGGGAAGUAUUACGGAAUGAGCGGACGCCUGAGACGGCGGCGCUGCGUGCGGAAUGACGUCCUUCGAGUGAAAAACCGCUUUCGCAUGAGACGUGGCGAGAGUGACGGUAAUGAAUAAAGAAGCACCGGCUAACUACGUG